rnacentral:rRNA from 1 species
UACGUAGGGGGCUAGCGUUGUCCGGAAUCAUUGGGCGUAAAGAGCGUGUAGGCGGCCCGGUAAGUCCGCUGUGAAAGUCGGGGGCUCAACCCUCGAAUGCCGGUGGAUACUGUCGGGCUCGAGUCCGGAAGAGGAGUGUGGAAUUCCUGGUGUAGCGGUGAAAUGCGCAGAUAUCAGGAGGAACACCAAUAGCGAAGGCAGCUCGCUGGGACGGUACUGACGCUGAGGCGCGAAAGCGUGGGGAGCGAACAGG